GCGGAGGUGGCGGAAUUGGUAGACGCGCUCGUUUCAGGUGCGAGUGAUCGCAAGAUCUUUGGAGUUCGAGUCUCCUCCUCCGCA
rnacentral:tRNA from 1 species